CCGGUGGCAGGUAUGGAACCUAUAGGGGGGCCUGUCACCCGGCACGUGCGCCGGGGGCCGGCCGGGCGGGAGGGGAGGAAGGCCGGCGGGCCGGCAGGGGGCCGACCCCGACCCCGACCCCGACCCGACCCGACCAGAUCCGCCCCGGAGCCCGGGCCUGGCCGGCUGGGCCUCGCUCCCAGCGCCCCUGGCAGGGCUGCCUCGGCGAGGAGUACCACCCGUGGGCGUCCCUGGUGGCUCAGUGGUAAAGAAUCUACCUGCCAGUGCAAGAGACCCGGAUUUGAUCUCUGGGUUGCAAAGACCCCCUGAAGAAGGAAAUGGCAACCCACCCCAGUAUUCCUGCCUGGGCAGUCCCAUGAACAGCGGAGCCUGGUGGGCUACAGUCCAUGGGGUCCGCAGAGAGUUGGACCCUACUUAGCAACUAAAACAUCAGCAAGUAUCACCUGUACCUCUCAGGGAGAAGAACACUGAAAUCCAUAAGGACCAGAUUAGCUUUAUCUAAUAUUUUUGUUCAGGGGCUUUUGAUUCUGAAUUUAUGUCACCCAUGGGCAUCUUUAUUUUCUGGUAGGAAGUGGGCCUCUCUUUACUCCUGUCUCGGGGAAAGAACCUUGUGAGGCAGAUGAUAAACCCUAGAAAGGUACAGUUAACA
rnacentral:lncRNA from 1 species